GUUAGGUUAGGGGAAUGAAACGUCCAAGGUCCAGACCUGAGGUCUGAACCUGGUUGUGCACGGUCCAUCCGUCCACUGACCACUAAAGACCGAUCCAAGCCAGACCGAGUCCAUGAGUCAAUGCAAAAAAAUCCAAAAUGGGGCUAAAAUAUUUGUGGUUAUUUCCACUAGGUUUGCACAACGAAAUGGGUGUUAAGGUUAGGUGUUGUGUGGUGCAGUACAUCUUUGAAAAAACUCGACAUCUGUAUGGAUGGAGGAAAUCGUUCUAAACCCCCAAGAGAGUAAUCAGUAAUUUAAUUAUACACAACUCAACAUCGUUUUGGAUGGAGGAAUACGUUUCUGUGACUUCAAGAGAUCUCAACAUCGUCUGGAUGGAGAAAACAAUUUUUGGAACCUUCUAGAAAAUUUCUGUGGCUCUCUACAUCAUACACCACACUGAUGGAGGCCUUAAAGUGGACUGUUCAAGCCUUAUCGCGACGUUUCGGAAUUUAUUUUCCUUCUUCAGGCUAGCUCGAACACAAAAUGAAAGGUUCCAGUCACUCAGUCUUAUUUAUACUGUUUCUGAGGGGGGCGUGUCUGCACACACACACGUUCUAACACUCAAUAUCGGCACUUUUUGGUGCGUCAUGAUCCAUUUUGGUGUGAUUUACCA